GUCCACGCCCUAAACGAUGUCGACUGGUUGUUGGGGUUUGACACUCUCAGUAACGAAGCUAACGCGUGAAGUCGACCGCCUGGGGAGUACGGCCGCAAGGUUAAAACUCAAAGGAAUUGACGGGGACCCGCACAAGCGGUGGAUUAUGUGGAUUAAUUCGAUGCAACGCGAAAACCUUACCUACCCUUGACAUGUCCGAAAGCCCGGAGAGAUUUGGGUGUGCCCGAAAGGGAAUCGGAACACAGGUGCUGCAUGGCUGUCGU
rnacentral:rRNA from 1 species